UGCUGGAGGUAUCAGAAGUGCGAAUGCUGACAUAAGUAACGAUAAAGCGGGUGAAAAGCCCGCUCGCCGGAAGACCAAGGGUUCCUGUCCAACGUUAAUCGGGGCAGGGUGAGUCGACCCCUAAGGCGAGGCCGAAAGGCGUAGUCGAUGGGAAACAGGUUAAUAUUCCUGUACUUGGUGUUACUGCGAAGGGGGGACGGAGAAGGCUAUGUUGGCCGGGCGACGGUUGUCCCGGUUUAAGCGUGUAGGCUGGUUUUCCAGGCAAAUCCGGAAAAUCAAGGCUGAGGCGUGAUGACGAGGCACUACGGUGCUGAAGCAACAAAUGCCCUGCUUCCAGGAAAAGCCUCUAAGCAUCAGGUAACAUCAAAUCGUACCCCAAACCGACACAGGUGGUCAGGUAGAGAAUACCAAGGCGCUUGAGAGAACUCGGGUGAAGGAACUAGGCAAAAUGGUGCCGUAACUUCGGGAGAAGGCACGCUGAUAUGUAGGUGAAG
rnacentral:rRNA from 1 species